GGGGUAGUUUGCGACAAACACGUGAAUAUUAGGUAUAACAAUUGAAAGAACUCCAUCAAUUGCAUGUAAGGCAUUAGUGUAUUCCAUUAAAUAAAACCAGUAAGGGAAUUGGCCAGUAACAGAUGUCUUGGAAAAAAUAUAUUCAUAAACAACUUUAAUCAGGUAUACCUGUUGAUGGAUUCAACGGAAAUAAAUUACAUAAUCUCGUAGCAUAUGUUACAUUUUAUCUUAACCCACGAUUAGAAUAUGAACUAUAUCCCGAUAAUGAAGGCAAGAGACGCGGGACUUCUCAAAUUAUAAAAAUACUAAAAAAU
rnacentral:lncRNA from 1 species